rnacentral:rRNA from 1 species
UACAGGGGGGGCAAGCGUUGUUCGGAAUUACUGGGCGUAAAGGGCUCGUAGGCGGCCAACUAAGUCACACGUGAAAUCCCCAGGCUUAACCUGGGAACUGCGUGUGAUACUGGAUGGCUUGAAUUCGGGAGAGGGAUGCAGAAUUCCAGGUGUAGCGGUGAAAUGCGUAGAUAUCUGGAGGAAUACCGGUGGCGAAGGCGGCUCACUGGGGGUUUUCUGACGCUGAGGAACGAAAGCCAGGGGAGCGAACGGG